rnacentral:rRNA from 1 species
GGAUCAUUAUCGUUGGGCUUCGGCCCAUUCGAGAUAACACCCUUGCCUUUUUGAGUACCUUUUCGUUUCCUCGGCAGGCUCGCCUGCCAACGGGGACCCUUCAAAACGCUUUGUAAUACCUGUAAUUGUCUGAUAUAACAAGCAAAAAUCAAAACUUUCAACAACGGAUCUCUUGGUUCUGGCAUCGAUGAAGAACGCAGCGAAAUGCGAUAAGUAGUGUGAAUUGCAGAAUUCAGUGAAUCAUCGAAUCUUUGAACGCACAUUGCGCCCUUUGGUAUUCCUUAGGGCAUGCCUGUUCGAGCGUCAUUUAAACCUUCAAGCUCAGCUUGGUGAUGGGUGACUGUCCUCCCCUCGCGGGUGGACUCGCCUCAAAAACAUUGGCGGCCGGUACAUUGGCUUCGAGCGCAGCAGAAACGCGGUCUCGAGCCCGGUGGAUCGGCUCCCAUAAGCCUAUUCUUUUAUUUUGACCUCGGAUCAGGUAGGGAUACCCGCUGAACUUAAGCAUAUCAAUAAGCGGAGGAAAAGAAACCAACAGGGAUUGCCCUAGUAACGGCGAGUGAAGCGGCAACAGCUCAAAUUUGAAAUCUGGCCCUUUCAGGGUCCGAGUUGUAAUUUGUAGAGGGUGCUUUGGCGUUGGCUGUGGUCUAAGUUCCUUGGAACAGGACGUCGCAGAGGGUGAGAAUCCCGUAUGUGGCCGCCAGUCUUCGCCGUGUAAAGCCCCUUCGACGAGUCGAGUUGUUUGGGAAUGCAGCUCUAAAUGGGAGGUAAAUUUCUUCUAAAGCUAAAUAUUGGCCAGAGACCGAUAGCGCACAAGUAGAGUGAUCGAAAGAUGAAAAGCACUUUGGAAAGAGAGUCAAAAAGCACGUGAAAUUGUUGAAAGGGAAGCGCUUGCAGCCAGACUUGCCUGUAGUUGCUCAUCCGGGCUUUUGCCCGGUGCACUCUUCUAUGGGCAGGCCAGCAUCAGUCCCAGCGGUUGGAUAAAUGCCUGUUGAA